GACGAACGCUGGCGGCGUGCUUAACACAUGCAAGUCGAGCGGAAAGGCCCUUCGGGGUACUCGAGCGGCGAACGGGUGAGUAACACGUGAGUAACCUGCCCCAGACUUUGGGAUAACCCUCGGAAACGGGGGCUAAUACCGGAUACGACACAGCUUCGCAUGGGGUCUGUGUGGAAAGUUUUUCGGUUUGGGAUGGGCUCGCGGCCUAUCAGCUUGUUGGUGGGGUGAUGGCCUACCAAGGCGACGACGGGUAGCCGGCCUGAGAGGGCGACCGGCCACACUGGGACUGAGACACGGCCCAGACUCCUACGGGAGGCAGCAGUGGGGAAUAUUGCACAAUGGGCGGAAGCCUGAUGCAGCGACGCCGCGUGAGGGAUGACGGCCUUCGGGUUGUAAACCUCCUUCAGCAGGGACGAAGCGUAAGUGACGGUACCUGCAGAAGAAGCGCCGGCCAACUACGUG
rnacentral:rRNA from 1 species